rnacentral:rRNA from 1 species
AGAGACAGCAGUAGCCACGGGAAUACGGAGGGAGCUAGCGUUGUUCGGAAUUACUGGGCGUAAAGCGCGCGUAGGCGGUUACUCAAGUCAGAGGUGAAAGCCCGGGGCUCAACCCCGGAACUGCCUUUGAAACUAGGUGACUAGAAUCUUGGAGAGGUCAGUGGAAUUCCGAGUGUAGAGGUGAAAUUCGUAGAUAUUCGGAAGAACACCAGUGGCGAAGGCGACUGACUGGACAAGUAUUGACGCUGAGGUGCGAAAGCGUGGGGAGCAAACAGGAUUAGAUACCCCGGUAGUCCCUGUCUCUUAUAC